CACCUCCCAAGUGUAGAGACUGCAGGUGUGAUGCUACCACACCCAACAGAGACAUUGUUAUCUCACAGCCUUCCCCCUUCAGCAAACAAAACUCAUUUGAGACAUUUUUACUGAGUAUGUUACACACCAGGCAGUAACCAGCACUAACUUCAGUGUGAGGCCGACAAGCGUCUGCCAGGUAGCAAGAUCAGAACAAGCUGGGAGGGAAGAACAGGUAGAAAAGGAAGUGGGGACCAUCCCCACUCAAGAGCACCGGGCAGUGUUGCUAAGACCAGACCUCAGGCAGGGCAGGUGCCUGGACGUGAACCCCGCUACUCAAGUUUACAUGGCAAGCACUUUACUGACUCAGCCCUCUCCCAGCCUCUGGAGCUAGUGUUUUUUCGGAGUGGAGAAAUGAACCUCUUUCUGACAUGCUCACGAAGGGAGGUGCGACACUCCACCCAGGACCUUACCCUGACCUCCAACGUAUGUUUCAUACCUGGACAAUGUAGAGACAAGGACAGUACUGGGCCCCUCCUCCGAUGCUGAUGCCAAUCAGGUUCUGAGCAUCCUUCUGCAGGGUGACCUUCCCGGGCACAGUGGGGAUUCCUCUGGGAAGAGAAGCAAGUGACAGUGAAUUCUGGUCAAACGCUGACUGGAAGGAGCAGGGUCCCAUGUCCAGAAAAGCUCCAACAACCUAUAUAAAGUAGCCUCUUCCUUUCUCAUCCAGAAAGAGCAAUUUGUACCAGAACUGCUCAAGAGUCAGUGGUGGGGUCAAAGCCAGGGUUGCCAAAAAUCUGCAGUGAGACUAAACUCCAAGGAAACUUUUUGUAACCUUUCUCAGGUACUUGCAGGACAUGACAACCCCCUUCCUUUAGAAGGUUACUCAACUAUCUUCCAGCCAUCUUCCUGCUCAGACACCCCAGCACUCACAAUACAACUUAGGCUGUCUUGUGGUGAACAGGUUCAGAUGUCAGCUUGGUUACUGAAGACCAAUUUCCUAACAACCAACGGCUACCCACCUCUUAUUAAGGACUAACGACACACAAGGCCAGGAGAUGGCUCAUUCUUUCUAAGGGUCAGACAAAUAUGAUUUCUGAUUACUAAUCACCUGUGCUGGGAGGAAGGUCUGAUGGUGGCAUUCCAUGCAGCUUUUGCAACCUGGCUCUGUUACCUGCUUUGGAACACCUUCCCAGACCACCCUAGCAUUACCUGGAUAAUGCCUUCAGGGUUCACAUGGCCCAAGUCGUGUUAUCUGUUAACCUGUCACAACCCCCUACAAGUGAUCUACUACUGGGAUGUCUGGGACCAUUUCUACUCCCGUACACUAAAAAGAAAGAAUGUGUGGAGCCAGGGCACCCAAGGACACGAGGGAACUGGGUCCUCAGUUCUCAGGUCUUGGGAAAGAAUAUACUCACAAUUUAUCCUCCUCGAUGUCAUAGUCUAAGUCUGCAAACAUGGUUCCGAGAGCUGGGGCCGACUGGCUAACUGCCCAGUUCGGGAGGGGAAUAGGAAACUGGGUCUGACGGAGAAAAGAGCACAGGGCUUCAGGGAACUGAAAUGCCCAGAUGCCAGCCCCAAGCUCCCACCCCUCCCCCACCCGGACAGCCGGCCUCUGGUCCCCUCCCCUCUAGACUGGGAGAGGGAGCCUCAGGCUGGAAGGGCGCGGCGUGGGGGUGUGGGGGUAGGUGAUUCUUACUUGGUACAGGGGAGGACCCCAGGCCAGGGCGAUGGGCUCGGAUUCUGGAGCCCGCCCCACGGUCUCCAGACCCUUGGGAGCCGCUUCAGUCGCUCACCGAGAGAGUCCGUCCCACAGCCAGGCCCGGGCCAGGCUGGCACCUGAACCCACCUGCCGUUCCACCUGGCGGCGACCGCGACUGUCGCGUCACUUCCGGUUGGACGCGGAAGUCCCGCCUCUCCCCUUGGGUAUUUGCCCCAAUCCCUGCGGGCACCCCUUCUGUCUCUGCUCCGGGACUCUCUGAACCAGGAAAAAGAACAAGUGUUGAUGGAAGCUCGCCGUUAGUAUGAAAAAAAGGAAAAGGAGGAAAAGGUUUAGACAUGCUGGCGGCUCCGGACCCCGCCCUUGUCGUUGCCGCCAUCUUGGAGAGGACAGAGCUCUUCCCAGCUUCCUUAGCGACACUCUGGGGACCACUUAGCCGGGCGGUUGCCGGGGCAACGGAAGCAUCCUGGGGCUAGUGAAAGUUCAGUGAAUUGCAAACCUCAAGACCUUGGUUUUCAUAUUUUCAAUACCGCUUCCUAAGAAAAACCUGUGUCUCCUCCACUACAAAGCUUUAGUUAGUGCUGUAAGGUUCCCGCUAAAUCCCAGUCUCACAAAGAAAGAAAUUAAGUAUCUGAGAAAGGGAGUAACUUUUUUCAGACAUAAUAACAGUUGGUGUAAGAUCCAGAUCUUGGCCCUGAGACCCCUUCCGCCAGUCUGGGAUCUUUGAACAUCUGCGCUAAAUUCGGAGCUGUGAAUUUUGCCUCUUUCAGAUUUGACGUCUUUCCCCCACAAACAUUACCAUCCAGUAAAAGUUUUUUUGGCAAAGAA